UACAGAGGUGGCAAGCGUUGUUCGGAAUUACUGGGCGUAAAGGGCGCGUAGGCGGUCUUGCAAGUCCCGUGUGAAAUCCCUCGGCUCAACUGAGGAACUGCACGGGAAACUGUUUGGCUUGAGUUCGGGAGAGGGAAGCGGAAUUCCGGGUGUAGCGGUGAAAUGCGUAGAUAUCCGGAGGAACACCGGUGGCGAAGGCGGCUUCCUGGACCGACACUGACGCUGAGGCGCGAAAGCUAGGGGAGCAAACGGG
rnacentral:rRNA from 1 species